rnacentral:rRNA from 1 species
AGAGUUUGAUCCUGGCUCAGAAUCAACGCUGGCGGCGUGCCUAACACAUGCAAGUCGAACGAGAAAGUGGGAGCAAUCCCAUGAGUAAAGUGGCGUACGGGUGAGUAACACGUGACUAACCUACCCUCGAGUGGGGAAUAACCUCGGGAAACCGGGGCUAAUACCGCAUAACAUCUACGGAUCAAAUGCGUAAGCAGCUUGAGGAGGGGGUCGCGGCCGAUUAGCUAGUUGGCGGGGUAAUGGCCCACCAAGGCAAUGAUCGGUAGCCGGCCUGAGAGGGCGCACGGCCACACUGGAACUGAAACACGGUCCAGACUCCUACGGGAGGCAGCGAGUGGGGAAUUUUGCGCUAAUGGGGGAAACCCUGACGCAGCAACGCCGCGUGGAGGAUGAAGCCCCUUGGGGUGUAAACUCCUUCGAUCGG